UACGUAGGGCGCAAGCGUUGUCCGGAAUUAUUGGGCGUAAAGAGCUCGUAGGCGGCCUGUUGCGUCCGCUGUGAAAUCCCGGGGCUCAACCCCGGGCCUGCAGUCGAUACGGGCAGGCUGGAGUUCGGUAGAGGGUGACGGAAUUCCCGGUGUAGCGGUGAAAUGCGUAGAUAUCGGGAGGAACAUCGAUGGCGAAGGCAAUCACCUGGGCCUGAACUGACACUGAGACACGAAAGCGUGGGUAGCAAACAGG
rnacentral:rRNA from 1 species